UCGCCUGUUUAUCAAAAACAUUGCUCUAUGUAAAGCGUAUAGGGUUCAUCCUGCUCCAUGGUUAACUAAAUAGCCGCAGUACUUUGACUGUGCUAAGGUAGCAUAAUCAUUUGGCUUAUAAUUGAAGUCGGGCAUGAAAGGGUAUAUGGGUAGAUACUGUCUUGCCAUAAGUAAUAGAAUUUACUCAAUAAGUGAAAAUUCUUAUAUUAAUAAAUUAGACGAGAAGACCCUAGAAAUUUUUUAAAGAAAAUAUCAGUAUCUAUUUUGUUGGGGCGACAGAGCAACAGUCAAACUUGCUUAAUUUUAUGGGAACUUGUUUAGGUGAAUAAUUAAAUUACUCUAGGGAUAACAGCAUAAUUCUAAAGAGUUUGUGACCUCGAUGUUGGACUAGGAAAACUAUUAUCUAAAAGAUAAUAAUAAUGGCUCUGUUCGAGCUCAUCUCCUACGUGAUCUG
rnacentral:rRNA from 1 species